rnacentral:rRNA from 1 species
UCGAACGAACCAUCCUGAUGAUUGAAGCUUGCUUCAUGAUUCAGACCUUGGUGAGUGGCGGACGGGUGAGUAACACGUGGGUAACCUGCCCAGAAGUGGGGGAUAACAUUUGGAAACAAGUGCUAAUACCGCAUAACAACUUAGAUCACAUGAUCUUUGUUUAAAAGAUGGUUUUGCUAUCUCUUCUGGAUGGACCCGCGGCGUAUUAGCUAGUUGGUGAGGUAAUAGCUCACCAAGGCGAUGAUACGUAGCCGACCUGAGAGGGUAAUCGGCCACAUUGGGACUGAGACACGGCCCAAACUCCUACGGGAGGCAGCAGUAGGGAAUCUUCCACAAUGGACGAAAGUCUGAUGGAGCAAUGCCGCGUGAGUGAAGAAGGUUUUCGGAUCGUAAAACUCUGUUGUUGAAGAAGAACAUAUGUGAGAGUAACUGUUCACGUACUGACGGUAUUCAACCAGAAAGCCACGGCUAACUACGUGCCAGCAGCCGCGGUAAUACGUAGGUGGCAAGCGUUGUCCGGAUUUAUUGGGCGUAAAGAGAAUGUAGGCGGUUUAUUAAGUUUGAAGUGAAAGCCCUCGGCUCAACCGAGGAAGUGCUUCGAAAACUGGUAAACUUGAGUGCAGAAGAGGAAAGUGGAACUCCAUGUGUAGCGGUGGAAUGCGUAGAUAUAUGGAAGAACACCAGUGGCGAAGGCGGCUUUCUGGUCUGUAACUGACGCUGAGAUUCGAAAGCAUGGGUAGCAAACAGGAUUAGAUACCCUGGUAGUCCAUGCCGUAAACGAUGAGUGCUAAGUGUUGGAGGGUUUCCGCCCUUCAGUGCUGCAGCUAACGCAUUAAGCACUCCGCCUGGGGAGUACGAUCGCAAGAUGUUAUAUGCCGCCC